GCUUGUCUCAAAGAUUAAGCCAUGCAUGUCUAAGUAUAAACGACUUUAUACUGUGAAACUGCGAAUGGCUCAUUAUAUCAGUUAUAGUUUAUUUGAUGGUCCUUGCUACUUGGAUAACCGUAGUAAUUCUAGAGCUAAUACAUGCAUUAAACCCCGACUUCUGGAAGGGGUGUAUUUAUUAGAUGGAAACCAAUGCGGGGUAACCCGGAAUAUGGUGAUUCAUAAUAACCGAACGAAUCGUAUGGCAUCAGCUGGCGAUGAAUCAUUCAAGUUUCUGACCUAUCAGCUUCCGACGGUAGGGUAUUGGCCUACCGUGGCAAUGACGGGUAACGGAGAAUUAGGGUUCGAUUCCGGAGAGGGAGCCUGAGAAACGGCUACCACAUCUAAGGAAGGCAGCAGG
rnacentral:rRNA from 1 species